GAUGAACGCUAGCGGGAGGCCUAACACAUGCAAGUCGAGGGGCAGCAUUGUAGCUUGCUACAGAUGGCGACCGGCGCACGGGUGAGUAACGCGUAUGCAACCUGCCUUAUACUGAGGGAUAGCCCAUGGAAACGUGGAUUAAUACCUCAUGGUUCCUAAGAAUCGCAUGGUUUUAAGGAUAAAGAAUUUCGGUAUAAGAUGGGCAUGCGUGACAUUAGGUAGUUGGUGAGGUAACGGCUCACCAAGCCGACGAUGUCUAGGGGUUCUGAGAGGAUGAUCCCCCACACUGGUACUGAGACACGGACCAGACUCCUACGGGAGGCAGCAGUGAGGAAUAUUGGUCAAUGGGCGCAAGCCUGAACCAGCCAUCCCGCGUGUAUGAUGACGGCCUUAUGGGUUGUAAAGUACUUUUAUCUACCAAGAAAAGCAGUCACGUGUGAUUGUCUGACGGUAGUAGAUGAAUAAGCACCGGCUAACUCCGUGCCAGCCGCCGCCGUAACAC
rnacentral:rRNA from 1 species